rnacentral:tRNA from 1 species
GUGCCGCCGGGGCCUCCGGCCUGGGGGGUGUUGGGGUUUCGAGCCCAGGGGGUGCCGGGGUCCCCGGCCCGGGACGGCACACC